GACGAACGCUGGCGGCGUGCCUAAUACAUGCAAGUAGAACGCACAGGAUGCACCGUAGUUUACUACACCGUAUUCUGUGAGUUGCGAACGGGUGAGUAACGCGUAGGUAACCUGCCUGGUAGCGGGGGAUAACUAUUGGAAACGAUAGCUAAUACCGCAUAAGAACAUUUACUGCAUGGUAGAUGUUAAAAGGUGCAAAUGCAUCACUACCAGAUGGACCUGCGUUGUAUUAGCUAGUAGGUGAGGUAACGGCUCACCUAGGCGACGAUACAUAGCCGACCUGAGAGGGUGAUCGGCCACACUGGGACUGAGACACGGCCCAGACUCCUACGGGAGGCAGCAGUAGGGAAUCUUCGGCAAUGGGGGGAACCCUGACCGAGCAACGCCGCGUGAGUGAAGAAGGUUUUCGGAUCGUAAAGCUCUGUUGUUAAGGAAGAACGAGUGUGAGAAUGGAAAGUUCAUACUGUGACGGUACUUAACCAGAAAGGACG
rnacentral:rRNA from 1 species